rnacentral:snRNA from 1 species
GUGCUCACUUCGGUAGCACAUCUACUAAAACUGAACCAAUACAGAGAUUAGCACGGCCACUGUGAAAGGAUGACACACAAAUUCAUGAAACAUUCCACAAUAUU